UACGAAGGGGGCUAGCGUUGCUCGGAAUGACUGGGCGUAAAGGGCGCGUAGGCGGAUGGCACAGUCAGAUGUGAAAUUCCCGGGCUUAACCUGGGGGCUGCAUUUGAUACGUGUUGUCUAGAGUGAGGAAGAGGGUUGUGGAAUUCCCAGUGUAGAGGUGAAAUGCGUAGAGAUGCGGAGGAACACCAGUGGCGAAAGCGACUUUCUGGUCCUUAACUGACGCUGAGGCGCGAAAGCAUGGGGAGCGAACGGG
rnacentral:rRNA from 1 species